AUGAGUGUGUUCAAGCUUCCAGCCUCCGUGUGUGAUGACCUAACACGGAUGAUGCGACAAUAUUGGUGGGGUGUUGAGAAUGGAAAGAAGAAGAUGGCCUGGCUUAGUUGGGAAAAAAUGAAAUUGCCCAAAUCAAUGGGAGGAAUGGGAUUUAGAGAUAUGCGGGCAUUUAAUCAAGCGUUGUUUCUAACAACGCUUGGCGGUUGCUAG
rnacentral:rRNA from 1 species